AUUGAACGCUGGCGGCAUGCUUUACACAUGCAAGUCGAACGGUAACAGGCCGCAAGGUGCUGACGAGUGGCGAACGGGUGAGUAAUGCAUCGGAACGUGCCCAGUCGUGGGGGAUAACGCAGCGAAAGCUGCGCUAAUACCGCAUACGAUCUAUGGAUGAAAGCGGGGGACCGUAAGGCCUCGCGCGAUUGGAGCGGCCGAAGUCAGAUUAGGUAGUUGGUGGGGUAAAGGCUCACCAAGCCGACGAUCUGUAGCUGGUCUGAGAGGACGGCCAGCCACACUGGGACUGAGACACGGCCCAGACUCCUACGGGAGGCAGCAGUGGGGAAUUUUGGACAAUGGGGGCAACCCUGAUCCAGCAAUGCCGCGUGCAGGAAGAAGGCCUUCGGGUUGUAAACUGCUUUUGUACGGAACGAAACGGCUCUGGUUAAUACCCGGGGCUAAUGACGGUACCGUAAGAAUAAGCACCGGCUAACUACGUGCCAGCAGCCGCCGUAAUAC
rnacentral:rRNA from 1 species